GAGGAGGGCUGGGAAAAAGUGGCUUUUAGGAAUUAGUGCUCUUGAAUUGCCUAAAAGAGAAGUCUCUCAUGCUUGAGGCUUGGCUGCGGGGUUAGGGAAAGGCAAAACUGGACCAGUCCUUUAGAGCACGAAUAAGUGUGUGACACGGAGCAAGCGAUGGUGAAUGUCUGUGCUGGGGCUGCAGGGGGGCUCCUGCCCCUCCGGAGGGGCUGUGUCCCCCCGGGCCCAUCCCAAAGCAUUCCUUGCAGGCAGCACUGGUCCCAUUCCCGCUUCCAUCCUGGCCGAACAUGCGCUUUGGUUUCACUGUGCUGGGAGCGGGUCCAGAGGCAGCAUGGCUGCGACUGCUGCCGUCAGCCCCAGUGAAUACCUGCAGCCGGCCGCCUCCAGCGCCCAGGACUCCCAACCAUCUCCUCUCGCCCUCCUCGCAGCGACAUGUAGCAAGAUCGGUCCCCCCGCAGCAGAAGCCGUCGUGACUCCUCCUGCCCCUCCUCAGCCAACGCCGCGCAAGCUCGUCCCCAUCAAACCUGCUCCGCUGCCCCUGGGCUCCGGUAAGAACAGCUUUGGGAUCCUGUCGUCGAAAGGCAACGUCUUCCAGAUCCAGGGCUCUCAGGUCAGCACCUCCUACCCCGGGGGGCAGCUGGUUUUUGCCAUCCAGAACCCAACUGUCAUCAACAAGGGGACCCGCUCGUCCACCACCAACAUCCAGUACCAGGCAGUGCCUCAGAUCCAGGCCACAGGGGGACAGACCAUCCAGGUCCAGCCUAACCAGAUCCAGAUUAUUCCGGGCACGAAUCAAGCCAUCCUCACCCCUUCCUCUUCCUCUCACAAGCCUGUGCCCAUCAAACCGGCUCCGGUGCAGAAAGGAGGAGCUUCCCCAGCGCAGGGCACGAGCAGCGUGGUCAAGUUGAGCGGUGGCAGCAACGUGACUCUGACCCUGCCCGUGAACAACCUGGUGAACGCCGCCGAGCCGGGCGCCCAGGCUCAGCUCCUGGCAGAGAGCUCCUCCAAACCCCCCAAAAAGCCUCGGAAGAAAGCCAUGUCACCCACCCAGCCCACCGCGGUGGCCGUGGCCGAGCAGGUGGAGACGGUGUUGAUAGAGACCACGGCAGAGAACAUCAUCCAGGCGGGCAACAACCUGCUGAUCGUGCAGAGCCCCGGCUCCGGCCAGCCGGCCGUGGUGCAGCAGGUACAAGUGGUGCAGCCCAAGCAGGAGCCCCAAGUGGUGCAGAUCCCGCAGCAGGCCCUGCGUGUGGUCCAGGCCGCCUCUGCCACGCUCCCCACCGUCCCCCAAAAACCCUCCCAGAACUUCCAGAUCCAAACGACGGAACCUACUCCUACCCAGGUCUACUUCAAAACCCCAUCGGGCGAGCUGCAGACCGUGCUGCUCCAGGAAGCUCCGGCCAUCACAGUGGCUCCAUCCGGGACCUCUUGCAGCAGCCCCGUGUCCCGCAGCGCCGGCACGGGGGGUUCCAGCACCAGCACCACCAGCACCAGCAGCAGCAGCAGGAAAGGCGCCGUGCGCAAGGAGCGCACCCUGCCCAAGAUCGCGCCGGCCGGAGGCAUCAUCAGCCUGAGCGCGGCGCAGCUGGCGGCCGCUGCGCAGGCCAUGCAGACCAUCAACAUCAACGGCGUGCAAGUGCAGGGCGUGCCCGUCACCAUCACCAACAGCGGAGCCCCCGUCACGGCUGCCGGGUGCUGUGCAGGGCCCAGGCUGCCGCCUCCGUGGCGCCCGAGCGUGGAGCGGCCCUUUGGGUCCGGGGCCAGCAGCAGCUCACUGUGCAGAAUGUGUCCGGCAACAACCUGACCAUCAGCGGCCUGAGCCCGACCCAGAUCCAGCUCCAGAUGGAGCAAGCGCUGUCCGGAGAGGCUCAACCUGGGGAGAAGAGGCGGCGGAUGGCGUGUACCUGCCCCAACUGCAAGGACGGGGACAAGAAGCCGGGCGACGCAGGGAAGAAGAAGCACAUCUGCCACAUCCCCGAGUGCGGGAGGACCUUCCGCAAGACGUCGCUGCUGCGGGCCCACGUGCGCCUGCACACGGGCGAGCGCCCCUUCGUCUGCAACUGGGUGUUCUGCGGGAAGCGCUUCACACGCAGCGACGAGCUGCAGCGACACGCUCGCACGCACACAGGUGACAAGCGCUUCGAGUGCGCGCAGUGCCAGAAGCGCUUCAUGCGGAGCGACCACCUCACGAAGCACUAUAAAACCCACCUGGUCACCAAGAACUUGUAGGGCCAGGAGCUGCCCCACGGCUGAGCGGACAGAGCCCAGCCAGGGGUCACCACCCAGCAGCAGCACUCCAGUGUCACCAGUGCCACGGAGAGGAGCCCUCAGGGACAUCCUCCUGCCCUUGGCCGAUGCCACCGCGCAGCAGCAGCCACUUCCAAAGGGUGCGAGGGGCCGACCCUGCCUGCGCAUCCCGGGAGCCAGCAGCGGUCCGGAGCCGGGUACGGAGGGGACUGCACACGCCGGCGCGGGCGGGCUGGGAGAGGCUCCACAGCACAUUCCUACUUUAUAUUUAAAGUCUAUAAAUAGCUAUAAAUAUCUAUAUAACCCCUUUGGAAGGUCCCUUUUUUUCUAUGGAGAUCGUUGCCUUACGCUCCCUGCUCCCGAUGACGAACACUGUGUAUUGUGAGCACUCUUUGGAACCUAUUUAAUUUCUGCUGCCCCUUUUGCCCCCUUUUUCUCCUAACAUUGCUUUCUUUUCUGACACCGAAGAGUUGGUUUUCCUUUCCCUCCACUGAUUUCUCUCUCCCCACUUUUCCUUUACCAAGCGACGUGGCAUUUCCUUACCCACUUUUGGGACGUGAGCCCCUUUCCCUCCCCUGCUGCCCUCCUCCUUCCCCUGUGUAUAGUGUACAUUGUACCAUAGAUUCUAUUGCUUUUGUGUUUACGACAUGUUUUGAAAAGAAAACCAUAUGGCUUGUUAUUUUUGAGCUUUUAAAUUAAACCAAAUCCACUUUAUUUUGGAGUUGUAACCGCCCAGGGUUGUUUCCUGCAGUAGGUGACGGGGCUGUUACACUCGAUGAACUGUAACCGUGGAGCCAGCCGGGAGCUUUCCUUGCUAAAUAAACUUAGUCACCAGAGGCAAAUCCA